rnacentral:lncRNA from 1 species
CAGACUGCUGUGCUAGCAAUCAGCGAGACUCCGUGGGCGUAGGACCCUCCGAGCCAGGUGCGGGAUGUAAUCUCGUGGUGCGCCGUUUUUUAAGCCCGUCGGAAAAGCGCAGUAUUCGGGUGGGAGUGACCCGAUUUUCCAGGUGCCGUCUGUCACCCCUUUCUUUGACUUGGAAAGGGAACUCCCUGACCCCUCGCGCUUCCCAGGUGAGGCAAUGCCUCGCCCUGCUUCGGCUCGUCCACGAUGCGCGCACCCACUGGCCUGCGCCCACUGUCUGGCACUCCCUAGUGAGAGAAACCCGGUACCUCAGAUGGAAAUGCAGAAAUCACCCGUCUUCUGCGUCGCUCACGCUGGGAGCUGUAGACCGGAGCUGUUCCUAUUCGGCCAUCUUGGCUCUCCCUUAGUAUCUGUGUUGCAGAAGUUUUAUUCCAGACACCCACUUCCAAAAGGUCUGGAGCACCUUUCUCCUACUAGCACAAACUCUACCCUCUGCAUGGCAGAUUGAGAUUACUGGAUUGUGAUUUCCCCUGCCCAGCUCACUUGUGGAGUAGAAAUUCCAUACCAGGAAAGACAAAGGAAAAGACCAGGAUGACAUUACUUAUCCAGCACCUACACAUAGAGCAAAGAUGACCAUCUAUGACAAGACCAUGCCCUGCUCGGGAGAGAUUCUGCCAGUGGAAAGACAGUGCAUAAGGACUGCACAUGCUACAGUUCUGCCUGAUGGGACUCAUUAUUUGCAAAAGAGUGUGAAAAACUUCAUGCCUAAGGACAUUGAUUUUUUAAUGUUGAUAUAAUUUGGAUUUGUGUCCCUGCCCAAAUAACAUAUCAAAUUGUAAUCCCCAGUGUUGGAGGAGGGGUCUAGUGGGAGGUGAUUGGAUGAUGGGGCAUAUUUUUUCUUUGCUGUUCUCAGGAUAGUGCAUGAGUUCCCACAAGAUCUGAUUGUUUUAAAAGUGUACAGCAUGUCCUGCUUCAUUCUCUUCCUCCUGCUCCAGCCAGUAGAAUGUGCCUGCUUUCCCUUUGCCUUCUGCCAUGAUUGUAAGUUUCCUGAGGCCUCCCCACCCAUGCUUCCUGUACAGCCUGCAGAACAGUGAGCCAAUUAAAC